rnacentral:tRNA from 1 species
GUCUUUUUGGUGAAACCAUCACGUCACUUUUUCAAGGUGAAGUUGAAUUUUUUAAAUUCUCAAGAUA